GCAUAACGCGAAGAACCUUACCAGGCCUUGACAUCCUGAGAACCCUCCCGAAAAGGAGGGUGCCCUUCGGGGAACGUCAGUGACAGGUGCUGCAUGGCUGUCGUCAGCUCGUGUCGUGAGAUGUUCGGUUAAGUCCGGCAACGAGCGCAACCCUCGCCAUUAGUUGCCAGCAUUUCGGAUGGGCACUCUAGUGGGACUGCCUAUGAAAGUGGGAGGAGGGUGGGGAUGACGUCAAAUCAUCAUGCCCCUUAUGUCUAGGGCAACACACGUGCUACAAUGGGCAGAACAGAGAGAAGCAAUACCGCGAGGAGGAGCAAAUCUCAAAAACUGCCCCAGUUCGGAUUGCAGGCUGAAACCCGCUGCAUGAAGUUGGAGUUGCUAGUAAUCGCGAAUCAGCAUGUCGCGGUGAAUACG
rnacentral:rRNA from 1 species